UCCGCUGCAAAUCGCGAGAGAGAGAGAGAAAGGGGGGGGGGUUCGACUGUUCGAGAACGUCUGCUCCGUCCUUUCUUCCUCUUCCCGUCGUCGGCGUGUGUGCAGCUGUCAUAGCUGCCGAAUUCUUCUCGUUCUCUGUUCUGUUUCGCAUCAGCAGAUACUUCUUCCUCGAUUCGGUGCUGCCCAUUCUUCCGUCACGUCGUCCGUCUGUCACUAGCACUGCAGAGCGCCAUUCAGCUUGUGAGUUCUCCUUCUCCCCUGUUCGCGUCGUCUCCUCACUGGUGCGGCUGCCGUGAGUGAAGUAUAGGAGAUGCUGGAAUCCAAGCAAGCUAAAAUCUAAGUUCAAGGAAUUCUUUUUUGAAUGGGUGAUUUCACUUCAGUUGCAGUAAGGAGAUGGGUUUUGAUGUUAAAGAUGGGUUUAGAUUUGGUUUUCUUGAGUUUAAAUUAAUUUCGAUGGGGAAUCAAAUUUGAAAAGCGUGGCAAAUUUAAAUAUUGAUGUUUGGAGAUUGUUGGGCAUGGUUUGGAAAUUUUUGCACACAAUGUGAUCGCUAAAAGAUCUUAAGAGGAAAUCAUAUCUCAAUUGAGCAAUUAGCUACGGCUAAAGUUGUAUGAAGAAACUUUAAUGCAUAAGUGUUGGUGUUCUGGGAACUAUGAAUUAUUUUA